UGCAUAGUUGUACAUGAGCGUAC
rnacentral:siRNA from 1 species